rnacentral:lncRNA from 1 species
AGCCCCGCGCUCUACCAGGCAGAGCGCGUGUGGCCGCCGAGCACAUGGACCCACUGGUCAAGCGGGCUCGGCAAGGCCAGGAUGAAGAGAAGCUACGAACUUAGCAUUCCCAGAGCCCCCCGAGUGGAUAUCCGCGUGGAAAGGAUGUUGGCAGCCCCGGUGACCUCGGAGUCACGGCUGGAUCCACCCUCUUGUCUGAUUUUCUUAACUCUACUACGGUAAGAAGAUGCCCUCCAUCAGCAGGCCGUGUCUGCUGGGACCUCUCUGGAGACUUCCUGAACCCUGUGGAUUUACAGUAAGAUGCAGUUUCCUGGGGAGUAAUUCUGGUGGAUACAAAUUCCGGAGUAUUACACCUGGCUUGCCUGGAGAUGUUACAAGUAGCUGGAUGGAUUCUUCAGCCUGGAUGCCCACUGAAAACAAGGACCGAAACUAAGAGGAUUGUAUCUCUACCCUUGACUCAAUGAGAAUGUUUGUUGUCAUCUCUCGGGCUACCUGGAGCUCCCUCUAAAAUUAUACCCUUUAAGCGUUCCAGAAGGAUUUUGAGAUCCUUUCCUAAAUCAAAGGUGGAAUAUUUGGGGAUUUGGAAAAUUGAGCCAGUCUCUCAGAAGAACCAGUUGUGUUACUUUGCUGUGAGAUGCCUGCCCUAAGAGAGGAGCAGAAGGUCGGAACGGGUCCUCUAAUGUGAUAAUUAGAUGUGAAGCGUUGACUUAAGAGAUGCCAAGUAACUCAGCAGAUGUCACACAGACGAUAAAUAGCAAAGAUGGAAGUCUUCAUGCCGGAGGCAAUCCUAUAAGACAGCUGAGUUCUGCAGAGCUGGUAGGAGACAGACUUGCUCAGGUGAUAGAUCCAGCCAUGAUACUGACCCUAAGAGAAUGAGACGCUCUGCAGAAGACAGAAGAUUCCUGAAACUGGGAAAGGUGCCUAGAAAUCCUGAUAAGAGUGAAGAAGGAGCUGGCAGAGCAGCCUUCCUCCGCACUAUGAAAGACAUCCAACAGAGAGCAAGUUCCCACCUCACUUCCAGCUUGACUCCUUUUUAUCUCCUAACUGUGGUCUGUGAUGUCUUCAGCAAUGGUAUUAACUAGUUCUGGGUACCUGGAGGCACAGCAGCCAUGUUGAACCUAUGAGGUGAUGAAAAACCAUGCAACUAGAAACCAGAAUGGAAGAAAAGAAGAAGCUGGAUCCUUGACUGAAUUGUCGAUGGGGGAUAGUCCAUCAUCCCAGGGCUAAGACCACCUCCAGAUUUCUUGUUUGGUGAAACAAGUCCUGAUUGUUUACAUUCCCUCGUGUUGAGCUGUCUCUUGCUUGUAGCUGAAAGCAUUUCUAAUAGAUAUUCAGAUUAUCAGCCUUAGCUCCAAGCUAGAAUACUCUAUGGGACCUUAGCUUCUCCAUGAAUUCCUUUGCUCAUCUGUGUAAUGCUCAAUAAAUGUAAAUUGAACCCUGAAUGAGGGACAAUGACACUA